CAGCAGCCACGGGAAAACGGAGGGCGCGAGCGUUACCCGAAUUUACUGGGCGUAAGGGCGUGUAGGCGGCCUGGGGCGUCCCAUGUGAAAGGCCACGGCUCAACCGUGGAGGAGCGUGGGAUACGCUCAGGCUAGAGGGUGGGAGAGGGUGGUGGAAUUCCCGGAGUAGCGGUGAAAUGCGCAGAUACCGGGAGGAACGCCGAUGGCGAAGGCAGCCACCUGGUCCACUUCUGACGCUGAGGCGCGAAAGCGUGGGGAGCAAACCGGAUUAGAUACCCCCGUAGUCCCUGUCUCUUAUACC
rnacentral:rRNA from 1 species